rnacentral:lncRNA from 1 species
UUUUCUUUUCUUAAACAUAUGUAAUGUAAUCACAAGUGAUGUAUCAAGUGUAAAGUCAGUGAAAAUGAAUACAUAUUUGAGAAUCAACACAAACAUGUUCUUUAAGAUAUCAUUCAUAAUAAAGAAUUAAACAUGUAACACAUAACAAUACAUGUGUUAUUUGUUGAGAUUAUUGACAACACAAUAUAUAUAUCACUCUGGUUUUUGAUGAUGACAAUACAUUUU